rnacentral:rRNA from 1 species
UGAUGAAGGCCUUCGGGUUGUAAAGCUCUUUUGGCGGGGACGAUGAUGACGGUACCCGCAGAAUAAGCCCCGGCUAACUUCGUGC